CUGACUUCACAGAUUGCAGAGAGUGGACUAUUGUAUACAAAUGUGUCGCCAAAAGCAUGAUGGCGUUGGAGGACGCUAGAAGGUGUCUCAUCUGCUGUCGCUGAGAGGUGAGGCCAGGCAGAGGAUUUGGAGUUGCUGUGCCCCCAGUGCACGGAACUUCAGGGCGUAGUUGCAGUUUCUAGGCUGGAGACACUUUCCGUCUCGUCUAGGACCUACGCAACUGUGAGAGGUGUCUCGUCUGCUGUCGCUGCGAGGUCCUGCCUCCAGUGCACGGCACGUCAGGGCGUAGUUGAAGUUUCUAGACUGGAGACACUUGCUGUCUCGUCUAGGACCUGCGCCACUGUAUAAGGUGUCUCCUCUGCUGUCAGUGAGAACUGAAGCAAGGGAAAGGACUUCGAGUGCUGUGACUCCAGUGUACGGCACUUCAGGUUGCAGUUCCAGUUUCUAGACUGGUGACAGUUGCUGUCUCGUCUAGGACCUGUGCAGCUGUGGAAGAAUCAUCCAGAUCUGUUAUCACGAGGUGUGUAGGAAAAAUUAAGAAGAUUUAAGAACCAUCUCCCACACAAAUGUGCUUAUGUGCGUACUUCGUCGUUUGGAUAAGUAGGCUAAGAGGUCAACGAAACGAAACAGAGGACUCCGCUGAAUCGAGGUUUAAUCAGACGGAAGAGAGGAAUACUACUGACAACAUCUGUCCCGUCUGUUGGAAUCCUGAAGAGUCAGGUGUACACGAACAAUGUCAGUCGUACGAGAUGCAUGCUGUCGUCAGAACUGAAGUCCUGCGAGAAUCUUCACUGUGAACGGUCACCGAUCUGAAUCGUGAACGGACACCGUUGCACAAUACUUUUCGAGAAAGG